CGACAAACGCGUAUCGGUCUUUUUUUUUUUCUGCUAGAUCCGGGUACUUGGGCCCUUGAACUUCUUCAGUGCUUACGCCACCGAAGACUUGGAUAGAGGUUCCAGAUUUUAAAUGGUGACAUUUUCA